rnacentral:rRNA from 1 species
UGGGUGUACAACCUAAAGGCGCAAUGAAAGUGUCAGUGGCGGCUCCUUUACGGAGUCCGUCCCGCUGGGAGGAUGGGCUCCCGUACGAUAACCUCGUCGGGGCCCCGCACUCCCGGGGCGUCUCGUUCUCAUUACGAGUGGAGACGCACCAGGAGCGCACACGCUGGUACCCGAAAGAUGGUGAACUAUGCCUGGCCAGGACGAAGCCAGGGGAAACCCUGGUGGAGGUCCGAAGCGAUUCUGACGUGCAAAUCGAUCGUCUGAGCUGGGUAUAGGGGCGAAAGACCAAUCGAACCAUCUAGUAGCUGGUUCCCUCUGAAGUUUCCCUCAGGAUAGCUGGCUCUCGGGAAGAGACGAGUCUCAUCCGGUAGAGCGAAUGAUUAGAGGUGAUGGGGUCGAAACGACUUCAACCUAUUCUCAAACUCCCAAUAGAUGAGAGCCCCGGGUUUCUUAAAAGUGAACCCGCGGGAAUCGGAUCAGAGAUGCCAAGUGGGCCAAUUUU